rnacentral:piRNA from 1 species
CUAAAUUGCUGUGUGCUCCGCCAUA